rnacentral:rRNA from 1 species
UACGUAGGGUGCAAGCGUUGUCCGGAAUUAUUGGGCGUAAAGAGCUCGUAGGCGGCCUGUCGCGUCGGCUGUGAAAACUCGGGGCUCAACUCCGAGCUUGCAGUCGAUACGGGCAGGCUAGAGUUCGGCAGGGGAGACUGGAAUUCCUGGUGUAGCGGUGAAAUGCGCAGAUAUCGGGAAGAACACCCGUGGCGAAGGCGGCACUCUGGGACGGUACUGACGCUGAGACGCGAAAGCGUGGGGAGCGAACAGG